rnacentral:rRNA from 1 species
CCUACGGGGGGCAGCAGUAGGGAAUAUUGCACAAUGGGCGCAAGCCUGAUGCAGCCAUGCCGCGUGUGUGAAGAAGGCCUUCGGGUUGUAAAGCACUUUCAGUGGGGAGGAAGGCGUUAAGGUUAAUAACCUUGGCGAUUGACGUUACCCGCAGAAGAAGCACCGGCUAACUCCGUGCCAGCAGCCGCGGUAAUACGGAGGGUGCAAGCGUUAAUCGGAAUUACUGGGCGUAAAGCGCACGCAGGCGGUCUGUCAAGUCGGAUGUGAAAUCCCCGGGCUCAACCUGGGAACUGCGUUCGAAACUGGCAGGCUAGAGUCUUGUAGAGGGGGGUAGAAUUCCAGGUGUAGCGGUGAAAUGCGUAGAGAUCUGGAGGAAUACCGGUGGCGAAGGCGGCCCCCUGGACAAAGACUGACGCUCAGGUGCGAAAGCGUGGGGAGCAAACAGGAUUAGAUACCCUUGUAGUC